GGGCUUGUGGUCCAAUGGUACGACGUCAGCCUUACACGCUGAAGACCGGAGUUCGAUUCUCCGCGAGCCCA
rnacentral:tRNA from 1 species